ensembl:snoRNA
UGUUGUGGUAGCUUCUUUCUGGUGCAUUUGUUAAGUUUUCAAAUGAGCCUGAUUCUGCCACAUACAUUAUGUAGGAGCUGGCAGAGGCUUAAAGACGAAGUGGUUUCUCUUGAGCUUGUCCUCAGAUUGGCUCCCAUAUGU